GAUCUACGCCAGUGACGGCCAUUAAAUAUCGGAUAAGAAGUGUCUUUCUCUAAAAAUAGCAAUAAAAAUAGCGACACACCGGAUAAGCACAAAGCGGACUGUUCGUCGAUUCCUUUGACCACUCCACUCCAUCAUCAACAAUGCACCCUCUUUACUACCUACGCUUUCGGUACCUUCCACGUGUCCCUUUGAUUACAAGUAUUCCCUUUGGACGGGUGUUAAUCGGCAAUGAAAAUGAGAAGCGCGAAAUCUGUUGCAGAGGAAAGAAGAUCUCUUUUUUUUUGUUCUUUAAUUAUUUAUUUAUAUUUGUCAGCUUCAGCCUUCAAGGUGUGCUUGUGCUAAUCCGAAGGAAGAGUUUGUAGCAGGAGAAGACUAGGUGAAGAUGGCGACGUUGCAGAUGGUGAGAGAGAGAGAGGUGGAGGAGACGCAGGAGAGGAGUCCAAGGAGUCCAGAGGCCGACCUCGGGAUGAAAGUUGAGGAUUUGUGGGAUGUGCAGGAGCCGCAGCUCAGUCCAACUGAGAAGCUCAACGCUUGUUUCGAGAGUAUCCCUGUCUCUGCCUUCCCAUCUGCGAAUUCCUCUCAAGUGGUCGAAAUCAAAUCAGACACGAGUCUAGCAGAGGCCGUGAAAAUACUAGCGGAUAACAAAAUAUUAAGCGCACCGGUGGUGGAUGUUGAUGCACCUGAGGAUGCCACUUGGAUGGACAGAUACCUCGGCGUUGUUGAGUUCGCCGGAAUUGCUGUGUGGAUUUUGCAUCAGUCAGAACCUCCAUCUCCUAGGAGUCAAAGCUCUGGAACAGCUCUUGCAGUGGCGGCUAAUGGAUUGACUAAUGCUGCAGGGCUUGGGACCUUAGGCCCUGAAGAUGCUUCAGCAACUUCUGGAAACUUUUUUGAGGCUUUGACUUCUUCUGAGUUCUAUAAAAGCAUGAAGGUUCGAGACAUCUCUGGAUCAUUCCGGUGGGCACCAUUUCUUGCUUUACAGAAAUCCAACUCCUUUUUGACGAUGCUCUUGUUGCUUUCAAAAUACAAAAUGAAGAGUGUUCCUGUUGUUGAUCCGGGUGAAGGGAAGAUUGAUAACAUAAUCACACAGUCUGCUGUUAUUCACAUGCUAGCAGAAUGUGCUGGGCUUCAAUGGUUUGAAAGCUGGGGAACAAAGAAACUUUCAGAAAUUGGUCUUCCCUCCAUGUCUCUUAAUCAAAUUGUCAAGGUGCAUGAGGAGGAACCGGUUCUCCAAGCCUUUAAGCUGAUGAGAAAAAAGAGAAUUGGAGCAAUACCUGUUGUUGAAAGUGAUGGUAAAAGGGCAGUGGGCAAUAUAAGUCUAAGAGAUGUUCAGUUCCUGUUAACUGCACCUGAGAUCUACCAUGAUUACAGGUUUGGAACUUCAUAUUACAUCAGCUUUGUGCAUAGUCACAUACUCCAUUAUAAAAUGUUUCAUAUUUGAUAGUUGAAAUCUCUAACAACCGUGCAAUAUGCCCUUCCAUAUUGGUCCUCAAAAUUUAUAUGUAUCUUGUUAAUAAUAUUGGCUGGUGCUAGGAGCCAAUUAGAGCAUUCCAUAUAUACAAAUUCCACAAGCAAUGUGACAUUUAUUUUUUUCGUGUGUGUGUGUAUAAAAAAAAAGGAGUGACUUUUAUAGUUAACCAGUAUAAGUGUAAUGAACCUUAAAUCUGUUUGCUAAAGGUACACACUUUCGUCAUAUGAGGUUUUAUCUCAAAUUCCAUUCUCAUUCCAGUAUUUGAAUUCUUGAAGGAUCUGAAUACCUAGGUUUUCAGAAUUUGACUAAUGGAGGCUGAGAGAAAAUUUUCAAAGGAGCGCUAGGGCGUAGUGGGGGAUUGCCUUGGAAAUCAUGAGAGCCAAGAGCUCCCUGCCUUUUUUAUUUCUCUACCAGUAUUGAAUAAGGAUCUAUUUGGCAUUGCUGUUGAAGUUACUGUUGCAAAAAAUUCUUAAAUAUAUUGGUUAGGAGCAUUAAAAUUUGAUUUGAAAAUAAAUUUGACAUAUUUUAGUCAUAUGAGUACCAAGAUAACAAAAAAGCUUUUCCAAACUGUUUUCUUCAACAGUAUUUGAAAUGAUACUUUUUCUGUAAAGUGCUUUCUGGCCUCUGAAAGUCAAUCCCAAAUAGGCAUUAAGAUCAAUUCAUGCUAAAGCACUCUUGGUAAAUUUUCCUUUAUCAUGUGGUGAUUGUGUUAUGGCUUUGGGAUUUAUUGGGUAAGUAGGUUACCUAAUCAAUUGAUAAUUCGGAUCUUUACUUUGACACUAAACCAAUUCUCAUCUCAGCGGAUUCUUAUGACAUUGUGACAGGUCUAUAACUGCAAAGAACUUUUUGACGGCAGUUAGAAGCUACUUGAAGGAGCAUCACGAGACCUCGCCGAUGUUGAGUGGCAUGAUUACGUGCACAAAAGACCACACAAUUAAAGAAUUGAUUCUAAAACUUGAUUCUGAAAAAAUUCAUCGAAUAUACGUUGUUGAUGAUGCUGGAAAUCUGGAAGGAGUGAUUACACUGAGAGACGUCAUCUCAAGGCUUGUACAUGAGCCUCCUGGCUACUUUGGUGAUUUCUUUGAUGGAGUACUGCCAUGGCCCCAAAACAGUAGAGUUUAAGAGGUGUUGAUAUUGAUGAUCUGGACAUUCCCUAAGGAUUGACCAUUUUCAGAUGAUAUCUGCUGAUCUUCGUUGCAUUGUUUAAUAGCGAGAAGAUGCAGUGACUGUAACAUAGUUGAGUACCCAUGUAAAUAGUUUCUUCUACUUUGAUGGGGUUCCCAUUUCUGUGCAUCUUGAUGUAUCUAUCUAGGAAUUGAAUGUGAGCUCCAUGUCGUGGUCAUUAAUUCAAAUCAAGUAGAAGUGUAGGACUUCUCCAUCCUAUGUUCAUCAGAUCAAAUGCUGAGUUGGCAAGGUGGAAAGAGUAAAUUGUGUUCUAUUUCUAAUAUAGUAUGUCAUAUGCUUUUGGAUUGUGUGUUUGUGAUUCAGUGAUUGUGACCGUUCAUAUGCUUUGAAAGAAGAAAAACAUGUAUCUCAUCAUGUAAUCUUUUGUUAUUUAUGAGAACAAGAGUAGUGAAG
rnacentral:misc_RNA from 1 species